rnacentral:rRNA from 1 species
UACGUAGGGUGCGAGCGUUAAUCGGAAUUACUGGGCGUAAAGCGUGCGUAGGUGGUUCGUUGUGUCUGUGGUGAAAGCCCCGGGCUUAACCUGGGAAUGGCCAUGGAAACUGGCGAGCUGGAGUGUGGCAGAGGAGGGUGGAAUUCCGCGUGUAGCAGUGAAAUGCGUAGAGAUGCAGAGGAACACCGAUGGCGAAGGAAGCCCUCUGGGCUAACACUGACGCUGAGGCCCGAAAGCGUGGGGAGCAAACAGG